rnacentral:rRNA from 1 species
AUGUUUGCUUGCAGCAUCAGCGAAUGGGACCUGCUCUACAUGCUCGAUUGCAGCCCGGUUCUGGAGAAGCUCACGUUCGUAUUCAGCGGUACCCCCGAUGCCUUCCACCUCCGGUGCAAGAGCCUCCGGUGCGUGGUCUUCCUGCUGGAAGCGCCCCGCAGAGGUGACGGUAGGAGUAUUGUGAUGAUCAAGAUUGCUUGUGUGCCCAACCUGCGGGCACUCGGCUUCUUGGAGCCAAGAUUUCACCGGCUGCAGAUCGGCGACAAUAACAUCAAUCCUGGCACAGUGCCGAGCCCAAGUACAGUGGUUCCAAGCGUUAAGAUAUUGGCUUUGAAGGUUAAUUUUGGUGUCUUAAGGGAUGUCAAGAUGACGGUGGCCUACCUCGGAUGCUUUCCCAACAUUGACACGCUGCACAUCGAGUCUAUAACUGAACGCACUGGAAAAAACCAUGCCAAGUUCUGGCAGGAGCUCCCUAGUUGA